GGAAGGAGAAGUCGUAACAAGGUUACCGUAGGUGAACCUGCUGUAGGAUCAUUG
rnacentral:rRNA from 1 species